CUUAUCCCUAAAAGCACUGCAGGUGUGUCUCAUGAGCAUCAGAGGUGGCAAGAGGAGAGAGGCUAUAUCAGUGUUCUGAUAUAGGAACAUCUGAAUGAUUAGCAGACUAACAUU
ensembl:snoRNA LOC120094936 small nucleolar RNA SNORA17